GCCAAGGCCCCUCAGCCGCGCCGAGGCCUGGUCCAGUCUCUACUCCGCGUCAGUGCGCAAACUGCCGCCUGAACUCGGAGCUCAAGAAGUGCCUGGGGAUAGAAGGCAGCCCACCCCAAAUUGUUCUUCCAAAAGGCAGCUAUCUAUUUGUAAGCCAACAGAAAACUUCCUUUUUCCAUCACCAUGUUUAUACAGUGAGAGCAGAGCUUGGGGAAAUGAUACAGCUGGUGGUUUGGUCUAGUCUCAGAAACACUUUCUGUGUUUACAAGGAAGAGGAACCCCACCAUCGCCGAGCCUGUGGCACUUAUAUUACUCAGCCGUUAAAAAGAAUUCAUUUGAACCAGUCCUAAUGAGAUGGAUGAAACUGGAGCCCCUUAUACAGAGUGAAGUAAGCCAGAAAGUUUGGAUACAACCUGAUAUGUGGGAUCUUAGUUUCUGACCAGGAAUGGAACCAGUGCCCUUUGAAGUGGUAGAACAAAGUCUUAACCACUAGACC